rnacentral:rRNA from 1 species
UACGGGGGGGCAAGCGUUGUUCGGAAUUACUGGGCGUAAAGAGCGUGUAGGCGGCCAGAUAGGUCCGUUGUGAAAGCUGGAGGCUUAACCUCCAGCGGUCGAUGGAAACCAUUUGGCUAGAGUCCGGAAGAGGAGAGUGGAAUUCCUGGUGUAGCGGUGAAAUGCGUAGAUAUCUGGAGGAACACCGGUGGCGAAGGCGGCAUCCUGGACCAAUACUGACACUGAGGAGCGAAAGCCAGGGGAGCAAACGGG